rnacentral:rRNA from 1 species
AUACCGGCUGCUCGAGUGAUGGCCACUAUUACUGGGUUUAAAGCGUCCGUAGCUUGACUGUUAGGUCUCUUGGGAAAUCUUUUGGCUUAACCAAAAGGCGUCUAAGAGAUACCGGCAUUCUUGGAACUGGGAGAGGUAAGCCGUACUUCGGGGGUAGGAGUGAAAUCUUGUAAUCCUCGAGGGACGACCUAUGGCGAAGGCAGCUUACCAGAACAGCUUCGACAGCGAGGGACGAAAGCUGGGGGAGCAAACGGGAUUAGAUACCCCGGUAGUCCCAGCCGUAAACAAUGUGCGUUAGGUGUGUCGGUUACCACGCGUAACUGAUGCGCCGAAGAGAAAUCGUGAAACGCACCACCUGGGAAGUACGGUCGCAAGGCUGAAACUUAAAGGAAUUGGCGGGG